GUGAGGAAUAUUGGUCAAUGGGCGAGAGCCUGAACCAGCCAAGUCGCGUGAAGGAAGAAGGAUCUAUGGUUCGUAAACUUCUUUUGCAGGGGAAUAAAGUGCAGGACGUGUCCUGUUUUGUAUGUACCCUGAGAAUAAGGAUCGGCUAACUCCGUGCCAGCAGCCGCGGUAAUACGGAGGAUCCGAGCGUUAUCCGGAUUUAUUGGGUUUAAAGGGUGCGUAGGUGGUUUGAUAAGUCAGCGGUGAAAGUUUGCAGCUUAGCUGUAAAAAUGCCGUUGAAACUGUCGGACUUGAGUGUAAAUGAGGUAGGCGGAAUGCGUGGUGUAGCGGUGAAAUGCAUAGAUAUCACGCAGAACUCCGAUUGCGAAGGCAGCUUACUAAGCUACAACUGACACUGAAGCACGAAAGCGUGGGGAUCAAACAGGAUUAGAAACCCUGGUAGUCC
rnacentral:rRNA from 1 species